rnacentral:rRNA from 1 species
AAUGAACGUUGGCGGCGUGGAUUAGGCAUGCAAGUCGAGCGAGAACCCGCAAGGGGGACAGCGGCAAACGGGGUAGUAACGGGUAGGUGACGUACCCUUCGGUCGGGGAUAGCCACGGGAAACUGUGGGUAAUACCCGAUAACCUCUUGAGACGUGAUGGUUUCGAGAGCAAAGGUGAGAUUCCACCGGAGGAGCGGCCUGCUUCGUAUUAGCUAGUUGGUGAGGUAACGGCUCACCAAGGCGACGAUGCGUAGGGGGUGUGAGAGCAUGACCCCCACCACUGGGACUGAGAUACUGCCCAGACACCUACGGGUGGCAG